rnacentral:rRNA from 1 species
GUGCCAUCAUCCCCGGUAAUCCUUGCGUGGCAAGCGUUAUCCGGAACUAUUGGGCGUAAAGCGCGCGUAGGCGGUUUCUUAAGUCUGAUGUGAAAGCCCACGGCUCAACCGUGGAGGGUCAUUGGAAACUGGGAAACUUGAGUGCAGAAGAGGAAAGUGGAAUUCCAUGUGUAGCGGUGAAAUGCGCAGAGAUAUGGAGGAACACCAGUGGCGAAGGCGACUUUCUGGUCUGUAACUGACGCUGAUGUGCGAAAGCGUGGGGAUCAAACAGGAUUAGAUACCCUGGUAGUCC